rnacentral:rRNA from 1 species
UCCGUAGGUGGAUAAUUAAGUCAGAGGUGAAAUCCUGCAGCUCAACUGUAGAAUUGCCUUUGAUACUGGUUAUCUUGAGUUAUUAUGAAGUAGUUAGAAUAUGUAGUGUAGCGGUGAAAUGCAUAGAUAUUACAUAGAAUACCAAUUGCGAAGGCAGAUUACUAAUAAUAUACUGACACUGAUGGACGAAAGCGUGGGGAGCGAACA